rnacentral:lncRNA from 1 species
AUUCGAUCAGCUCAAAUUUAUUAGUGAUUCCAAAUAAAUUUUUUUUUCAUCAAUCACAUUACUAUAGCCAUAGACUUGUCGACUCAGCUUUUCAAAUCUCAUAGGGCACUUCUCUCUAUCAAGAUCGAUAGAUCACAUCUAGAUGCACAUGUUGCUCUCACAACUUAACCAACUGAAGCUAAUAUCCACUACAAAGACUUAUAAUCGAAUCAAUACUUAUGUAUAGUCAAACUAUAAUAGUCUUACUGUGAGCAACUAUGACACCG